GUUUUUCUCUUUCUUCUUCGUCACUUCUUUUCUGGUCAACUGAUCUGUUUCAUUUUCUUCAUCACUUCUAUUCUCGUCAAACUUGUAGUUUCUUUUUCUUCUUCUUCACCCAUCCAAAAACACAACUCAAAAGAAUCUGAAAUACUUCAGACAUACUUCUAAGAAGAAGAAGAUUUCUUAGGCUGUUCAACUAAUUACAUGGAUACUUCUAAGAAGAAGAAGAUUUCUUAGACAUACGUAUUGGUCUUCCCACCGUUUGCAGGCCAACUCAAGCUUGAAGCAUGAUGAUAUUUCCUUUCAAAAGGAAACUGGUUGCAUGUCUAAACAUCUCUUAUUCUAUUUUCAUCAUUAUUCCGCUCAAGAUAUUUAAUUGUUCAGGUGAAAAUUGACUUGAUACAGAUGCUUACCAAAAGAGAUUUAAAACAUAUGGUUUGCUGUAAAAAAGAAGGAAAAGCUUUUACAUUUGUGUGUCUUACCUGCUGAAAACAAUAUACGAAGCUUUCUACGAUUUCUUUGGAAUCCAUUAUAUUGGAUCAUUGGAGCUGCAGCUAUUGCUCAUACACCACAGGUUUGGCUAAUUUCUGUAGGAAUUAUUGCACUCAUCGUAAUCAAUUCGAUUAUUCGUUUAAUCGAAGAGAAUUACGCUGGAAAUGCUGCUACUUUAAUGGCUAGACUUUCUCCUGAUAAAGCUAAGGUCCUUCGUGAUAGAAUCUGGAACGAACUCAUUCCUGGAGAUAUAAUCAAGAUUAAGCUUGGUGAUAUAAUCCGUGCUGAUGUCCGUCUCCUCAAAGGAGGUCCUGUAAAGAUUUAUAAGGGCCCUCUUUAAUAGAUGCCGUGGUGAUUGCUACCGGAAGUCGUACGAAGUUUGGAGAACAUACACAUCCAGUAGAUACUACAAACCAAGAUGAUCAAUAUCAAAAGG